ACAUCGAGUGAUACUCAUCUUGGGUGUCUGUCCUCCCGUCUAAAAAACGGGAGUUAGCAAGGGCCGGGCAAGACCGGUGCCAGCCGCCGCGGUAAUACCGGCGGCUCGAGUGGUGGCCGAUAUUAUUGAGUCUAAAGGGUCCGUAGCCGGCUUUGCAAGUCUUUUGGGAAAUCCAGCGGCUUAACCGUUGGUCGUCCGGGAGAUACUACAUUGCUUGGGACUGGGAGAGGUAGGAGGUACUCAGGGGGUAGGAGUGAAAUCCUGUAAUCCUUUGGGGACCACCGGUGGCGAAGGCGUCCUACCAGAACAGGUCCGACGGUGAGGGACGAAAGCUAGGGGCACGAACCGGAUUAGAUACCCGGGUAGUCCUAGCCGUAAACGAUGCUCGCUAGGUGUCACAACAAUCGUGAAUUGUUGUGGUGCCGUAGGGAAGCCGUGAAGCGAGCCACUUGGGAAGUACGACCGCAAGGUUGAAACUUAA
rnacentral:rRNA from 1 species